AUCACGUCACUCACGCGCCCGCUUCACACCGUAUCCACGUCUUCGUUCGAUCCCUUCUGUACCGGAACGGCGCUACCGUGAUCUCUGCGCGAAGAACAAGCACAUGGAAAAUUGACUCGACUUCCUCGUCGACUUCUUCGUCGCGAGCCGAAUUGCCGUUGUCUCUGCCAGAUGACGAGCGCGAGACACUGCCGAGUCACCGCGCAUGUGUCCCGUGACGUCACGAGCGCGACUCACGAGAAACGUAUUCGUUCGCGCGAGAAUCCGAGCAAUGGUAGUAUCUGCAGAUUUUUAUAUUUGCUAUUUAUUAUUUCAGUAUUGCUGAAGGGGGAAACGAUGCAACAGCUUCUUCUCACGCAGGAUUAGCUCGCCAAACUGCACAUCUCUAUUGCUAACUCCUGCUUAAUUUUCACUACACGAUUGGCACAGAUACCAGCACAUUUCCAAGCUUGACUUUUGUUCGUUUCAUCUGAUUGUCUUACCAGAACUGUUAGUUUACCAUUGCAUGUUUCUAAGGAGUCUAUUCUGUACUUUUUAUAAUAGCAUCGUUAUUAUUAGAAUAAGCCUCUAAGGUUGAUGUCGUCGAAUAGUUUCCAUCGCUUGAUCGAACCUGUACAUAGCAGCACUCUCGAUUUCCCAAUGGAAACACGUUCAACUUGCAAUUAAUGAGUCUACGGUGUACACUACACGCGCGCAUGUAUGCACACACACGCGCACACAUCGAGAAAAUCUGAACGAGCUGGUCUCGAGAUUCGCGAUGGAAUACUUACAUUCCUUUUUUUCCCAAGAUUACUUCCAGAUUGCAAGACUCGUGUUUCUUCUGUUAGAGAUCUUCGUGUUCUCGGAGAGUACUUGAACGGAAAGAUUCGCAAUUCUUGAACAACGCGAGUCGAGACGGGCAAGCUGCAAUAUCGUCGAGGCGAAUCGCGCGAUUUCGCGUCACUCCUUCGAAAGUAGUGCACGUCUCGCGGCGAUAGAGACUUUUUCUUGCUUCGCACGUGCGCACAUGUGCAUGCAGCUCCCGUUUGAACCAGCCGAUCUGGUCGGCAUUUUUAUCAAGACCUUUGAAUGCUUUCCCUUAUCGCCAAUCUCCUUUCGUGGUGUCGAUUUGUUCAUCCCCUGUCGCCACGCUAUUCUUCGAUAAAUUCGCGUACUGGACAUUUUAUCUUUGAAGAGUACAUAUCUUACGAUGUAAUCAAUUAUAUUCGCAACAAGAUAUAUCAUUCUCGUCUGUGGAAGAAGACCUUCCGUUUAAUAAUCAACUGUUAGACUGUGACAUCGAUUUUUCAUUUCUUUGCGAUGAUAUUACGCGGAGAUGUGCGCGCGAUCCUUUGGAGAUUCGCAAAUAUCGGCUGCAAAGUUAAGCAACGACGAGUGUACGACUCUCGAUAAUCGCAACGAGGAAACGAGCUGAGCUCAGCUAUAAAGACGCGCAACAAAUUUUCUAAUCGUUGACGCACAACGCUGUUACGCACUUGCUUAUCUAAUUACUCAAUUAUGAUACCUAGACUAACGAUAGCGUGGUGGCGUUCAGGCGGAAACGGGAUCGACCGCAAGAGAAAGCCGAUCUAACGACACGCUCGUGUACGUUUUGCAAUUGCAGCGCGCAAACACCUGGAAAUACGGAUUUUCGCAUUGAUACAAGAAUCAAGCCUCUGCGAAUUCGUCCGGCGUAUCGCUGUGUUCGUUCAACGGUGAGAUGUGUUUCUAAAUACUAAGAUAUAAAAUAUAUCCACGAUGUGUGUCGUUCUUCGAAUAAAGGCACAAAGAGAAAUAUAUUGAAAAUGAUAACACUCGCGCGCGUCCAUUUGUAUUGCUUUUUAUUAUUCAUUUUUCUUUACGCAUACUUCCUGCAUCGCAUUUUAGUUCAUCGCUCGCCCUAGAAAUGAACUAUCAAACAGUCAAAUUUACAAUCGCAGUUGAGCAGUUUCUUUUAUAAAGUCAGCUCUACAAAAAACGCAAAAAUCUCGUUUUACAACCUAUUACAAGCAACCGCGUGCCGGCUCCCGGUUCGUCGCGCGUGCCGAUAUACUGCUGAUUAAUACAAUUGAUAACUUAGACAUGAUAUUGUUUCGGACAGACUUUUGUAAAACUUUCUUUUCUUGAAAAAGGAAAGGUACACGGGUUUACUUUUCAAUUCAUCAACUGCCUUGUCCCUCUAUAUCAUGUUUCUUUCAUAUCUAGAUUGCCUUCAGUAAUUAUUAAGAAACCUAAUAACGAAAUAUAUAUAUAUAUAUAUACAUAUAUAUGUAUAUUUGUAUGUAUGUAUAUAUAUAUGUGUAUAUAUAUGUAUAUAUAUAAACAACAAAAUGUGAUUUCCAUGGCCUUCUGUUACUAUGUAGGUUGCAACAAUCAUGUAUCGGAGAGAAUCCUCUCAUUUCCUCUUUCUCUCUCUCUCUCUCUCUUUUCUUCCCUUGCAGACUGUAUAAAAUAUCGUUAUCGCCGCUUCUACUACGAAAGGUCUAUCGCUAGCGUGCUUUCCACCUGUACUCGGCAGAGAUUCUUUGUGAAACGAUCGUGUCAUUCUUUUUCGUAUUUUCUUUAUCUGUUCACCUAGAAAAGACAAUAUUGAAGAAAUGCAGUCAGGAACAUACGCGGCUAUAAUAAUGCAACGAUAUUGCGAACACCAACCUUUAGGCGUACAAAGAUACUCGCGACUCUGUCUCUUUCUGUAAAAUAUCUCCUCGGCAAUCAGAUCUGUGAUGGUGAUGCUCUUAUGCUCUUUACAACAAUUCUAUUUGAAUUUUAUUGUAAGUGACAUACACACACAAGCACACGCUCUCUCUUUCUCUCGCACUCGCUCUCGCAUCCGCCUCCAACACAUCUGACAAACAUGCUCUUACUAGAAAUUAUCCUGAACAGACUCAAGUGAACGCGAUUAUAGAUAUAAGUAGCAAAAAACGCUCGACGUGUUCGCGAUGUAAUAAUUUGGAGUAACUUUUUUUUCACAGAUGCGUUAUAUUAAAAUUACGAUUAUACGCCACCGAACGGUCUGUAUAUACAGCCAUAUUUGUUUAGAUCUGUUUUACAAAAAACCACGCGUACCAUACACACACUCUGCUUUCUCUCUCUCUCUCCCUCUCGCUCGAUUAACGCAUCCAAUCUUCGUAAAUACCAUUGCGCAUCGAGAUUUACUCUCUUCUGUCGCAUAACCAGUACUCGAUCGCGCGACACAAAGCACUUUCGUAUUCUCCGACGUAUCUCCAGUCAAAAUCCUAGCGACUCGUGCAAUUUAUAAUGCAGAACAACGGAUUCAACGAUACACACAAAUGCCACGUUACAGAGUCACGUCAAAAUAUAUCGUCCAAUUUUAGGUAAAUGCUUAAAAUUGGUGUAUCCCCGUUUUACAACGUAUUCGUGCUGGCGAACUUUACAUAAUGCGACAUUGCGAACGUUACGAUUCUUUAUACUACGUUUUUGCAAUCCGCGAUUCGUUCUCUUUCUUUACAGUAAGCUUUGCCUUAAUUACGUCUAAGCUCGUAGACGACGGCUCUCAUUGAGAAUUUAAGCACGUAAUGUAUAAACAGUUAUUUCUCUUUUCCCCUCUUUCAACAUAAGGAGAAAUUCAUUAAAUAAUCGAUAUAGAAACCUCGGUCGGUCCUCUUCGACUCGCUUACAAUUACGCUACUUUGAAUAUCUGUGAGUUGUGGUGUUUUUUAAAUACAUGUCGGCUAAGGGGUUCAUCACAGUGAGGUAUAGAAAAUGAUAAAUAACGAUUCGCGCGAAAGCAACGGGAAAUCUUGCAUAACGCAGAUUCCCUCGAUGAGAGCUUCGUCAAGAUAUUACUCUUAGGUGCAGUGCGUUAUAAAUUAAAUAUAAAAAAGAAAAAUGAAUCGCUAAUAUCUUUAAUGAUCAAAUUAAGAGAAUACUAUGAUACCUUCUUAAUAGAAUCGUUACAUUUUCCGUGUCGCUCCGCGAAAAUGAGAGCGGUCGUUUCACACACGCAUACUUUUCUAUAUAAUUAAAAAAAAAAAAAAAAAAUUAAAAAAUCAUCAAACAUGCUGUUACGUAAUUUGUUUGAGCUAGUAUUUGCAUCCUUUUACAAGAAUCUUCUCGUUUAGGGGCAGGACUCGUUUCGCUAAUCUCUUGCUUCGGAUGUACCUUUUCGCGUUUGCGGUGUUUCAUGAUUUCGGUAAAAUGUACAAGAUAAAAUACAUAAAAAAAGUACAUUUGAA